GCACAAGCAGCGGAGCGUGUGGUUUAAUUCGAUGCUACACGAAGAACCUUACCCGGGUUUGACAUGCAAGUGGUAGUGAUCCGAAAGGUGAACGACCCGCAAGGGAGCUUGCACAGGUGUUGCAUGGCUGUCGUCAGCUCGUGUCGUGAGGUGUUCGGUUAAGUCCGCUAACGAGCGCAACCCUCGCUGUAUGUUACAUGUGUCAUACAGGACCGCCGGUAUCAAGCCGGAGGAAGGUGGGGAUGACGUCAAGUCCGCAUGGCCUUUAUGUCCGGGGCUACACACACGCUACAAUGGUCGGUACAAUGGGUUGCUAAGCCGCGAGGUGGAGCCAAUCCCCCAAAGCCGGCCUCAGUUCAGAUUGCAGGCUGCAACUCGCCUGCAUGAAGCUGGAGUUGCUAGUAAACGCGCGUCAGCUAUAGUGCGUUGAAUACGUUCUCGGGCCUU
rnacentral:rRNA from 1 species